CCUCAUCCCGCUCCUCGGGCCCCCGCGAGAGCGCGGAGAUGCCGGGGUUGGUGCUGGCGGGCGGGCGGCACAGGGCUGGGGGCGGCGGUGAAGGAGGGAGGACGGAAGAGAGAGGAGGAAGGAAGAAGGAAGGAAGAGGGAGGAGGACUACGGCUCCCAUCGGGGCCGGCGGAGAUUAACAUCGGAUGAGCACAUGGAGUUCCAGACGCUGAUCCUUGGAGAAUCCACGUGUGACAGAGAGGAUGGAGAUAAUCUUUUGGCUCAGUUCCAGCCUGGUGGAGCCUGCGCAUGGUUGUUUCAGGCUGAUGUACAGAAAGGACAGGAUUUUCUUUGCAACUAAAUUGGACUGAGUCUUCUUUUCCACCCAAACCAGAUGGUAAGUGAUUCAGUUCGUUUAGCAGCAGAAAAAUGAUUUGUUUUAUUUUCUCAGUAGCUGGUGUGAAUGUACCUUUCUUUAUCUUUAUUUACAUAUUAUGUAAACACACUUUACCAGCAUUUAUGUACAUGGUUUACAUUCCUAGUCCUGCACAGAGCCCUGUAUAGGCAAGGCCUUGCACAUAGAAGGAGUUAGCAUUGCUUAUGAAGAGCUGUUUGCAUGGAACUGAUGGUAGGGUUGUAAUCAAUUUGUAUUGUUAUUUAUAUGCUGAAAUUUAUAUGCUGAAAUUUGAAUACUUGCACUGUACAAGGAUGCCAGCAGAGCUGUAAGUCCACCAAACAGUUUACUGAGCACUUUACUUUUUUUCACCCAA